rnacentral:rRNA from 1 species
CGGGUGCACUGAUCCGGCCGGGCCUUUCCCUCUGUGGAACCCCAUGGCCUUCACUGGCUGUGUGGGGGAAACAGGACUUUUACUGUGAAAAAAUUAGAGUGCUCCAGGCAGGCCUAUGCUCGAAUACAUUAGCAUGGAAUAAUAGAAUAGGACGCGUGGUUCUAUUUUGUUGGUUUCUAGGACCGCCGUAAUGAUUAAUAGGGACAGUCGGGGGCAUCAGUAUUCAAUUGUCAGAGGUGAAAUUCUUGGAUCUAUUGAAGACUAACUACUGCGAAAGCAUUUGCCAAGGAUGUUUUCAUUGAUAAGGAACGAAAGUUAGGGGAUCGAAGACGAUCAGAUACCGUCGUAGUCUUAACUAUAAACUAUGCCGACUAGGGAUCGGACGAUGUUAUUUCUUGACGCGUUCGGCACCUUUCGAGAAAUCAAAGUGCUUGGGCUCCAGGGGGAGUAUGGUCGCAAGGCUGAAACUUAAAGAAAUUGACGGAAGGGCACCACCAGGGGUGGAACCUGCGGCUUAAUUUGACUCAACACGGGGAAACUCACCAGGUCCAGACAUACGGAGGAUUGACAGAUUGAAAGCUCUUUCUAGAUUGUAUGGGUGGUGGUGCAUGGCCGUUCUUAGUUCGUGGAGUGAUUUGUCUGGUUAAUUCCGAUAACGAACGAGACCUUAUUCUGCUAAAUAGACAGACUCAUUUUUUAAUGGGGUUGAAGGCUUCGGUCUUUGCUGUCUU